rnacentral:lncRNA from 1 species
CCGGGCUGUUGGUGGCCUGCACUGGGGUCCCUGAGAGCCAGGGCUGCAGAAGCUGGGGCCGGCAAGGCCGGGGUCCCCGCAGCUGGGCAGCACUCACCACUGAGCCACCUGGCCCUGACGGCCAACACAAUGGACACGCCUGGAAGGAGAGGAUGGGCCAGGUGGGAAGGCUGUUCCUGUCUAUUUCCAGGUGAAGCUGACAACGCAGGCUUCGGGCCCGACCGACUGAGACUCAGCAGAGGCCUCGCCAGUUCUCUCCAGCCCAGGCUUGUCGGGAAUUUUGCUGGCUCACUGUUCCCAGCCC